rnacentral:RNase_P_RNA from 1 species
GGAGAAAAGUAGAUCAUCGCUGGCGACUUCGGUCACGGGAGGAAAGUCCGGACACCAUACAGCAACGUAGCGGGUAAUGCCCGUCCAUCGCGAGAUGAGGACAAGUGCAACAGAAAGGAUGUAUAGGCGCUUAGGCGUGCUAUAGUGAAAUCAGGUAAACUCUACGUGGUGCAAAUCCAAAUAGGCUUGCGCUUAGGGCAGCUGGUCCAAGCAAGCGGGUAGGAUGCUCGAGGCCAUGGGUAAUCAUGGCCCUAGACGAAUGAUGAUCCAAGACAGAAUCCGGCUUAACGCUUCUCUUCUUUU